UACAUUUUUAUAUUUUCAGUGAUACAGUAUGGUUUUGUGGUAUUUUUCGUAGCUGGUUUUCCUCUGGCCCCUGUUCUAGCAUUUGUUAAUAAUCUAUUAGAAAUUCGUGUUGAUGCUUCCAAAAUAACACAAAGUUAUAGAAGGCCAGUUCCAAAACAAUCUGCUGGUAUUGGACCAUGGUUUGGAAUCUUACAGGCCACUACAUACAUUGGUGUAGCAACUAACGCAUUAGUCAUAGCAUUCACUAGUAACUUCGUGCAGAAAGAAAUUUAUAGGCAUUCAAAGGACUCUGCUCAUAGUGGAUUCAUCAAUACAACCUUAUCUGCCUAUGCAACUAAAGAUUUUGAAAUACUCAGUAGAUCUAUUAAGACUCCGAAAAUCUGCUUUUACCCAGGAAGAAGAUAUGACCCAGAUCACGAACAAGCAUAUGAACUCACCAAAGAUUUUUGGUUCCUUUUGGCAAUACGAUUCCUUGUCGUUUUGGUU